UACGAAGGGGGCUAGCGUUGUUCGGAAUCACUGGGCGUAAAGGGCGCGUAGGCGGCCUGAUAAGUCGGGGGUGAAAGCCUGUGGCUCAACCACAGAAUUGCCUUCGAUACUGUUAGGCUUGAGACCGGAAGAGGUAAGUGGAACUGCGAGUGUAGAGGUGAAAUUCGUAGAUAUUCGCAAGAACACCAGUGGCGAAGGCGGCUGACUGGUCCGGGUUCUGACGCUGAGGCGCGAAAGCGUGGGGAGCAAACAGG
rnacentral:rRNA from 1 species